AGAAGGUCCCAAGGGUUGGGCUGUUCGCCCAUUAAAGUGGCACGCGAGCUGGGUUCAGAACGUCGCGAGACAGUUCGGUCCCUAUCUGUUGUGGGCGUUAGAAAUUUGAGGGCACCUGACCGUAGUACGAGAGGACCCGGUUGGACAUACCUCUAGUGUACCUGUUGUUGCGCCAGCAGCACCGCAGGGUAGCUAUGUAUGGAUGAGAUAAGUGCUGAAAGCAUCUAAGCACGAAACUCAGCUCAAGAUGAGAUUUCUUUUAAGGGUCGUUCAAGACUAGGACGUUGAUAGGCUGCAGGUGUAAAGUCAGUAAUGGCAAAGCCAAGCAGUACUAAUUACCCGUAAGCUUUUUUCUG
rfam:Bacteroidetes bacterium 4484_249 ex4484_259_scaffold_10679, whole genome shotgun sequence.